GAGCCAACACUAACACACAAACAUACACCUAUAUACAAACAAAACAUUUGAUAAACCCAGUAGAUGAGACUGAACAGUAAAUUCACCCAGUACCGCAAGGGAAAUUAAACAAGCAAUAAAUAGCAAAGAUCAACCCUCGUACCUUUCGUAUCAUGGCUAUGCAAGAAAUCAAAGACAAGAAGAAUCAUAGCCUUCACCCCGAAACCAGAUGAGCUACUUUCAAGCAGCUAAUUAGAGCUCACCCUCCUCUGUAGCAAAAGAGUGGGAAGACUUAAAAGUAGAAGUGAAACGCCUACCGAAUCUGGAGAUAGUCGGCUACCCCAAAAAGAAUAUAAGUUCACCACAGACCACAAGAGCCGUUCUUCCUGAGGAACUAGUGGGGUACAGCCCAUGAAACAGGAUACAACCUGAAUUUGAGAGAAUAGAACAAUCACUAAUCAGUAGGCCUUAAAGCAGCCACCUAAUAAAAUAUCGUUAAAGAAUUAUUAAACCUAAUCCCAUACUAAGCUUUCAAACUCCAAACAAACUAAGGGUAGACCCAUAAUAAUGGGUACUAUUAUGCUAGAACUAAUAAUAAGACAACCUCUCUUUAUGCACCCUUCCACUAAAAUCGGACCAACCACUAGCUAUUAACAUACCACACCAGGCACUAAACCAAACAAUACACAACUUAAAACUUAACUGUCACCCCAACACAGGCGCAUAAAAAAGAAAGAUUUACUAUUAUAAAAGGAACUCGGCAAACAAAGAUUCCAACUGUUUAACAAAAACAUAACCUUUAGACUAACUAAUAUUAAAGGCAACGCCUGCCCAGUGAACAUUAAACGGCCGCGGUACCCUAACCGUGCAAAGGUAGCAUAAUCAUUUGUCUACUAAUUAUAGACCUGUAUGAAAGGCAAAAUGAGAAUCUAACUGUCUCUUAUAAUUGACCAAUUAAACUGAUCUUCUAGUAAAAAAGCUAGAAUUAAACCAUAAGACCAGAAGACCCUGUGAAGCUUUAACUAAACUAUUAAAUCCUAUAAUACCUACUUUCGGUUGGGGCGACCUUGGAAAUAAAAAGAACUUCCAAUACAUACAACCUAUCUAAAACCAAACCUAGGCCAACAAGCCAAUUAAUGACCCAGUAAAUCUGAAUUGAACCAAGUUACUCCAGGGAUAACAGCGCAAUCCCCUUCAAGAGCCCAUAUCAAAAAGGGUUUACGACCUCGAUGUUGGAUCAGGACAUCCUAAUGGUGCAGACGCUAUUAAGGGUUCGUUUGUUCAACGAUUAA
rnacentral:rRNA from 1 species